rnacentral:ribozyme from 1 species
UGCCCAGCAACUCCUAUCCCUACCUCCUCGCGGUAUUGUCCGUAGUACGAGUAACCUUAGGAAAGCUCGAGCAAUUGACACCGGUGGGAACUCUGGUCUUAUGCUGACAGGGAAGG